GUCUCAACGACAAAAACGUUGAGUUUCUCUCCAACAGUGUUGAUGAGAAUAAGACCCUUCCAUUCGUUCUCAAAUGAGACUGUCGUAGAGAAUUAAUAAAAAACUCUUAACUCCGAAGACUCUAUAUUUUAUGGUUAAAAAAAAGAAACGAAACGAGAAAUGUAGCUGAAGAUUCCAGCCAUUUUGUUUUGACGAGAGCUAGUCCAGAUCUAGAUCUCUAGAUCCUCUAGAUCUAGAUCUACUUGAUCAACGAUUUACACUGAUGUAUAACCUACGUAAAUCUGCAAGAUCUAGAUUUAAAUUUAGAUCUAGAAUCUAGAAAUCUACAUUAUUGACUAGAGAGAAAAGUUAAAAGUAUGCCUAGUGCCUCGUUCACCCAAAAAGGGAAGAUUUCAUUUUUACCAGUAAUAAGACUACAGCAUACUAAAUGACACAAGAUGUUUAUUCUCUAUUACCUCUUACAUUUGACAUAAAAGCAGGAAAAGGUUUAACAGUCUAUGCCUACAACAUGGAUCUCCAGGACUAAAACUGAAAAAAUUUGCAAUCAGUAUAUCACAAGUGUUACAAUACAAUCAUCUAAUCUGCUUCAGUGGCCAGAACUGGGUGAAUCCUCUCAAACUUGAAACAGGAACUAGGCAUACCUAAUGAGCGUCAAGCUGAUACAGUAGAUGUACAGAAGAGUUUAUACACAAGGAAGUGAAAAGUGAUGUGAAAGGCAACUAAUACUUCCAUCUACCAUAGUUAAACAAGAAUCUGCAAAUGGCGUUAAUUGCAAUAAUCCUGAUAUAUUCAUUUUUGGCUUUAUAUGCAUAAAUAAAUUAUUUA